AUUUUAGUGGAGAUUUAAAUAAAACCAGGGAAAUCUGUUGGCUGAGAUGAGGAGGGAGAAUAUUCUAAGCAUGGUGGACAACCGGAGAAAAAGCUGAGUAAUGGAGUGUUCAUGAAACAGCAAGGAAUCUUUUCUCCCUAGUUUGAAGAAUAUGUGGUAGGGGGUAAGGUGUAAGAAGACUGGAAAAAUCUGGAAAGAUCUAUGGCUUGAGGUUACCAUUAAAGAAAUGGCUGCUGUACUACUCAUCAGGAAUUGGACUCUUUACCCAUCUCUAAAGUUCAUCUGUACAAUGGGGUGACGACAACAACCACUCCUUACUUCCUGGGGAAUAAGGAGUUAUCACUAUUCAUCAACCUUAUUUUUAGUCGAAAACCCUUUUAAAUCCUGAACAUUGAGCACCAUGAAAGUGAGAGAGAUUGCUAUCCAUUCUUCCUUCCAUUCUGUUUGUGGACCACUGAUGUAAAAAAAAAACAACAAAAAACAAAAAACAAAUGUAGAAGAAAAG
rnacentral:lncRNA from 1 species